rnacentral:rRNA from 1 species
CCUACGGGGGGCAGCAGUGGGGAAUAUUGCACAAUGGGCGAAAGCCUGAUGCAGCAACGCCGCGUGAAGGAAGAAGGGUUUCGGCUCGUAAACUUCUAUCAACAGGGACGAAAGAAAUGACGGUACCUGAAUAAGAAGCCCCGGCUAACUACGUGCCAGCAGCCGCGGUAAUACGUAGGGGGCAAGCGUUAUCCGGAAUUACUGGGUGUAAAGGGUGAGUAGGCGGCAUGGUAAGCCAGAUGUGAAAGCCUUGGGCUUAACCCGAGGAUUGCAUUUGGAACUAUCAAGCUAGAGUACAGGAGAGGAAAGCGGAAUUCCUAGUGUAGCGGUGAAAUGCGUAGAGAUCAAGAGGAAUACUCAUUGCGAAGGCGACCUGCUAGAACAUAACUGACGCUGAUGCGCGAAAGCGUGGGGAGCAAACAGGAUUAGAUACCCGAGUAGUC